GGGGAUAUAGCUCAGUGCUAGAGCUCUUGACUAGCAUGCAAGAGGCCCUAUGUUCUAUUCCCA
rnacentral:tRNA from 1 species